rnacentral:rRNA from 1 species
CCCCUAGAUGUUCUGGGCCGCACGCGCGCUACACUGAACAGUUCAACAAGUCUUAACCUUGGCCGAUAGGUCUGGGUAAUCUUUGAACGCUGUUCGUGAUUGGGAUAGACCUUUGCAAUUAUGGGUCUUCAACGAGGAAUUCCUAGUAAACGCAAGUCAUCAGCUUGCAUUGAUUACGUCCCUGCCCUUUGUACACACCGCCCGUCGCACCUACCGAUUGAAUGGUCCGGUGAAAUCUCGGGACGGCGGCUCGGUCGCUUGCGUCCGACUGCUGAAACUUGAUUAAACCAUAUCAUUUAGAGGAAGGUGGAGUCGUAACA